GACGACGCUGGCGGCGUGGAUUAGGCAUGCAAGUCGAACGGUAUCAUCCUUCGGGGGUGAGAGAGUGGCGAACUGGUGAGUAACACGUAGGUAUCUACCCUCAAGACGGGGACAACCCAGGGAAACUUGGGCUAAUACCGGAUGUGAGCAACUUUUAGUUGUUUGAAAGGUGGCGUAAGCUGUCGCUUGGGGAUGAGCCUGCGUCCUAUUAGUUAGUUGGUGAGGUAACGGCUCACCUAGGCAAUGAUAGGUAGGCGGCCUUAACGGGUGGUCGCCCACACUGGGAUUGAGAUACGGCCCAGACUCCUACGGGAGGCAGCAGUCGAGAAUAGUCUACAAUGGUCGGAAGACUGAUAGUGCGACGCCGCGUGAACGAUGAAUCCCUUCGGGGUGUAAAGUUCUUUUAUAUGUGAGCAGUGCUUCUUAUAUUAACAGUAUGGGGAGAGAGAUAUUAGCAUAUGAAUAAGCAACGGCUAACUCCGUG
rnacentral:rRNA from 1 species